rnacentral:rRNA from 1 species
GACGAACGCUGGCGGCGUGCUUAACACAUGCAAGUCGAACGGAAAGGCCCUGCUUUUGUGGGGUGCUCGAGUGGCGAACGGGUGAGUAACACGUGAGUAACCUGCCCUUGACUUUGGGAUAACUUCAGGAAACUGGGGCUAAUACCGGAUAGGAGCUCCUGCUGCAUGGUGGGGGUUGGAAAGUUUCGGCGGUUGGGGAUGGACUCGCGGCUUAUCAGCUUGUUGGUGGGGUAGUUGCUUACCAAGGCAUUGACGGGUAGCCGGCCUGAGAGGGUGACCGGCCACAAUGGGACUAAGAGACGGCCCAGACUCCUACGGUAGGCAGCGGUGGGAAAUAUUGCACAAUGGGCGGGAGCCUGAGACAGCAGCGCCGGGUGCGGAAUGACGGCCUUCGGGUUGUAAACCGCUUUCGCCUGUGACGAAGCGUGAGUGACGGUAAUGGAUAAAGAAGCACCGGCUAACUACGUG